GGGUCGCUAGCUCAUCUGGUUAGAGCACCGGCCUUUUAAGCCGGGUGUGGAGAGUUCGAGUCUCUCGCGACCUACCA
rnacentral:tRNA from 1 species